rnacentral:rRNA from 1 species
GACGAACGCUGGCGGCGUGCUUAACACAUGCAAGUCGAACGGAAAGGCCCUGCUUGCAGGGUACUCGAGUGGCGAACGGGUGAGUAACACGUGGGUGAUCUGCCCUGCACUUCGGGAUAAGCCUGGGAAACUGGGUCUAAUACCGGAUAGGAGCCACUUCUAGUGUGAUGGUUGGAAAGUUUUUUCGGUGUAGGAUGAGCUCGCGGCCUAUCAGCUUGUUGGUGGGGUAAUGGCCUACCAAGGCGGCGACGGGUAGCCGGCCUGAGAGGGUGGACGGCCACAUAGGGACUGAGGGACGGCCCAGACGCCGACGGGAGGCAGCAGUGGGGAAUAUUGCACAAUGGGCGCAAGCCUGAUGCAGAGAGGCCGCGUGGGGGAGGGCGGCCUUCGGGUUGUAAACUCCUUUCGCUAGAGACGAAGCUUUUUGUGACGGUACCUAGAUAAGAAGCACCGGCUAACUACGUG